rnacentral:rRNA from 1 species
CGUACACAAAAAUGCACAUGCUGUGAGCUCGAUGAGUAGGGCGGGACACGUGGUAUCCUGUCUGAAUAUGGGGGGACCAUCCUCCAAGGCUAAAUACUCCUGACUGACCGAUAGUGAACCAGUACCGUGAGGGAAAGGCGAAAAGAACCCCGGCGAGGGGAGUGAAAAAGAACCUGAAACCGUGUACGUACAAGCAGUGGGAGCCUCUUUUAUGGGGUGACUGCGUACCUUUUGUAUAAUGGGUCAGCGACUUAUAUUCUGUAGCAAGGUUAACCGAAUAGGGGAGCCGAAGGGAAACCGAGUCUUAACUGGGCGUUAAGUUGCAGGGUAUAGACCCGAAACCCGGUGAUCUAGCCAUGGGCAGGUUGAAGGUUGGGUAACACUAACUGGAGGACCGAACCGACUAAUGUUGAAAAAUUAGCGGAUGACUUGUGGCUGGGGGUGAAAGGCCAAUCAAACCGGGAGAUAGCUGGUUCUCCCCGAAAGCUAUUUAGGUAGCGCCUCGUGAAUUCAUCUCCGGGGGUAGAGCACUGUUUCGGCAAGGGGGUCAUCCCGACUUACCAACCCGAUGCAAACUGCGAAUACCGGAGAAUGUUAUCACGGGAGACACACGGCGGGUGCUAACGUCCGUCGUGAAGAGGGAAACAACCCAGACCGCCAGCUAAGGUCCCAAAGUCAUGGUUAAGUGGGAAACGAUGUGGGAAGGCCCAGACAGCCAGGAUGUUGGCUUAGAAGCAGCCAUCAUUUAAAGAAAGCGUAAUAGCUCACUGGUCGAGUCGGCCUGCGCGGAAGAUGUAACGGGGCUAAACCAUGCACCGAAGCUGCGGCAGCGACGCUUAUGCGUUGUUGGGUAGGGGAGCGUUCUGUAAGCCUGUGAAGGUGUGCUGUGAGGCAUGCUGGAGGUAUCAGAAGUGCGAAUGCUGACAUAAGUAACGAUAAAGCGGGUGAAAAGCCCGCUCGCCGGAAGACCAAGGGUUCCUGUCCAACGUUAAUCGGGGCAGGGUGAGUCGACCCCUAAGGCGAGGCCGAAAGGCGUAGUCGAUGGGAAACAGGUUAAUAUUCCUGUACUUGGUGUUACUGCGAAGGGGGGACGGAGAAGGCUAUGUUGGCCGGGCGACGGUUGUCCCGGUUUAAGCGUGUAGGCUGGUUUUCCAGGCAAAUCCGGAAAAUCAAGGCUGAGGCGUGAUGACGAGGCACUACGGUGCUGAAGCAACAAAUGCCCUGCUUCCAGGAAAAGCCUCUAAGCAUCAGGUAACAUCAAAUCGUACCCCAAACCGACACAGGUGGUCAGGUAGAGAAUACCAAGGCGCUUGAGAGAACUCGGGUGAAGGAACUAGGCAAAAUGGUGCCGUAACUUCGGGAGAAGGCACGCUGAUAUGUAGGUGAAGCGACUUGCUCGUGGAGCUGAAAUCAGUCGAAGAUACCAGCUGGCUGCAACUGUUUAUUAAAAACACAGCACUGUGCAAACACGAAAGUGGACGUAUACGGUGUGACGCCUGCCCGGUGCCGGAAGGUUAAUUGAUGGGGUCAGCGCAAGCGAAGCUCUUGAUCGAAGCCCCGGUAAACGGCGGCCGUAACUAUAACGGUCCUAAGGUAGCGAAAUUCCUUGUCGGGUAAGUUCCGACCUGCACGAAUGGCGUAAUGAUGGCCAGGCUGUCUCCACCCGAGACUCAGUGAAAUUGAACUCGCUGUGAAGAUGCAGUGUACCCGCGGCAAGACGGAAAGACCCCGUGAACCUUUACUAUAGCUUGACACUGAACAUUGAGCCUUGAUGUGUAGGAUAGGUGGGAGGCUUUGAAGUGUGGACGCCAGUCUGCAUGGAGCCGACCUUGAAAUACCACCCUUUAAUGUUUGAUGUUCUAACGUUGACCCGUAAUCCGGGUUGCGGACAGUGUCUGGUGGGUAGUUUGACUGGGGCGGUCUCCUCCUAAAGAGUAACGGAGGAGCACGAAGGUUGGCUAAUCCUGGUCGGACAUCAGGAGGUUAGUGCAAUGGC